AACUCAAUUGGAUCGUACAAAAUUUAACUCAAAACCAAAUUAACAUAACUCUGAAGUGAAUUGUGUCCCUAAUGAUCUAAAACCACACCCAAUAAAUAAACCUCAGAACCCAAAUUAAAAACAACUGAAAGCUAAGAUCGAAAUCAUCUAAACCCAAAACUAAUCCACACCGAAAUCACCUUAAAACAUUGAAGCAAAAUGAACCUAAUUCAUAGAAACCCAACAUACAACUUGCUAAUUUGACAGGUUAAUAAGAUCCAUAGUAACUAGAGACAAUGUUGAAAUGUACUUCUAAAUUGAAUGUAAGCUAGGACAAAUUAUCUUAGAAAAUAAAAAUCAUCUAGCAUAUUAGAUUUGGGGUUGCCACAGAUUAAGGUUCAGGGUUAACAGCAUCUCAACCAAGCCCGGUAUUGCACAGUAAAAACUUCAAAUUCAUUAAAUUCCCCCUAUAAAUAUACGAAAAGGUUAUUCUUUGUGAUGAUGGACUCCGACAUUGUUUGAAACCUG
rnacentral:lncRNA from 1 species